UACGUAGGGGGCUAGCGUUGUCCGGAAUCAUUGGGCGUAAAGCGCGCGUAGGCGGUCAGGUAAGUCCGGUGUGAAAGUCAAAGGCUCAACCUUUGAAUGCCGCUGGAUACUGCUUGACUUGAGUCCGGAAGGGGCGAGUGGAAUUCCUGGUGUAGCGGUGAAAUGCGCAGAUAUCAGGAGGAACACCAAUGGCGAAGGCAGCUCGCUGGGACGUGACUGACGCUGAGACGCGAAAGCGUGGGGAGCAAACGGG
rnacentral:rRNA from 1 species